AACGAACGCUGGCGGCAGGCCUAACACAUGCAAGUCGAGCGAGGACUUCGGUCCUAGCGGCGGACGGGUGAGUAACGCGUGGGAACGUGCCCUUUGCUUCGGAAUAGCCCUGGGAAACUGGGAGUAAUACCGGAUGAGCCCUUUGGGGGAAAGAUUUAUCGGCGAAGGAUCGGCCCGCGUUGGAUUAGGUAGUUGGUGGGGUAAUGGCCUACCAAGCCGACGAUCCAUAGCUGGUUUGAGAGGAUGAUCAGCCACACUGGGACUGAGACACGGCCCAGACUCCUACGGGAGGCAGCAGUGGGGAAUCCUAGACAAUGGGGGAAACCCUGAUCUAGCCAUGCCGCGUGAGCGAUGAAGGCCUUAGGGUUGUAAAGCUCUUUCAGCUGGGAAGAUAAUGACGGUACCAGCAGAAGAAGCCCCGGCUAACUACGUG
rnacentral:rRNA from 1 species